UCCUGCAUUCGAAAGUGAUUGUGGGCUGCCUGUGCCCUGGUCAUUGAUAGUGCAGGGAGAGAAGUUGCUGAAAGCAUUUCCCCGUGUUAGAAGGGCCCAUCCCGUCCCUUCCAAACUCUGGAGCUUUCGUACA
ensembl:snoRNA SNORA71 Small nucleolar RNA SNORA71